ensembl:lncRNA
GGAAGUGUAAGUGCCUGGCUGAAAACAGGACAUAUUAGCUGCAUUUAACCUUCAGUUACUCUAUAUAUAGUUAGAGAGACAGCCAGGUUCAUAAUGGAUAUAAGGAAGUUUUUUUUUAAAAAAAACUAACCACAUUCAGUCCAAAGAGGGAGAGAGGAAAGAGGGGAACGUGAGGAGAAAGUAGAAGGUCAGGAAGAAGCAGAGAUGAAGACAACAGACGACGAGGACAGGGAGGAACAGGGGUUUAAAUGCACCAAUGAGACAGAGAGAACUCGGGACAACUGGAGACAUUUAAGGAUGCAGGGACUGACAGAGACAGGGAAGAAGUCUCGUCGUGACGUGUAAAGUUUAUCUUGCCUGGCUGGGCAGCUCUCUGGGUGCUCAGCACCCCCAAAGCUCUGGUCCUAGAAUCGCCCCUGCUCCAAAGUCCUUUCUUCUAAUCGUCAGCACUUCUCUCAUUCAGAAUCAAUACAGAAUUAUCAUUUCCACUUAUUAUGCUGCAUUUAUAAUUUUAAACAAAAUUACCAUGAGCACAAACACGUUUCUGAAUUCCCUACAGAACUGGCAAUAUCCUUAUUUAGACAGUCUCAGGGGAUCGAGGCCUUGAGGAUCUCAGUCUCUUUGACAGACGGUUUAGAUGUGAAAUGUAUUUAAGGAAAAAGAAGAAAAAGGGAAAAUCAAAACUUUUUAUUUAUGAAUGCAAAUCUUAUUUUCCUUAAAAUGAGGAAAAGAAAAAGGACACUGUUACUGUUGGCUAUUUAAAAAUAU